rnacentral:tRNA from 1 species
GCCUUCGUGGUGUAAUGGUCAGCGCAUUCGGAGCGUAUUCGAGAGGCUCGUGGUUCAAAUCUUAGCGAGGGCA